UACCUGGUUGAUCCUGCCAGUAGUCAUAUGCUUGUCUCAAAGAUUAAGCCAUGCAAGUCUAAGUACGAGCUCUCGUACAGUGAAACUGCGAAUGGCUCAUUAAAUUAGUUAUGGUUCAUUUGAUCGUACAGUUUACUUGGAUAACUGUGGUAAUUCUAGAGCUAAUACAUGCGAGAAGCGCCGACCUCGCGGGAGGCGUGCAUUUAUCAGACCAAAAACCGGCCGCGUCUUCGGGCGCGUUCGCCUUGGUGACUCUGGAUAACUUUGCGGAUCGCACGGUCUAGCACCGGCGACGGAUCAUUCAAGUGUCUGCCCUAUCAACUUUCGUCGGUACGGUAUUUGCCUACCGAGGUUCUUACGGGUGACGGGGAAUCAGGGUUCGAUUCCGGAGAGGGAG
rnacentral:ncRNA from 1 species